rnacentral:rRNA from 1 species
GAUGAACGCUGGCGGCGUGCCUCAUACAUGCAAGUCGAGCGAACAGACGAGGAGCUUGCUCCUCUGACGUUAGCGGCGGACGGGUGAGUAACACGUGGAUAACCUACCUAUAAGACUGGGAUAACUUCGGGAAACCGGAGCUAAUACCGGAUAAUAUAUUGAACCGCAUGGUUCAAUAGUGAAAGACGGUUUUGCUGUCACUUAUAGAUGGAUCCGCGCCGCAUUAGCUAGUUGGUAAGGUAACGGCUUACCAAGGCAACGAUGCGUAGCCGACCUGAGAGGGUGAUCGGCCACACUGGAACUGAGACACGGUCCAGACUCCUACGGGAGGCAGCAGUAGGGAAUCUUCCGCAAUGGGCGAAAGCCUGGCGGAGCAACGCCGCGUGAGUGAUGAAGGUCUUCGGAUCGUAAAACUCUGUUAUUAGGGAAGAACAAAUGUGUAAGUAACUAUGCACGUCUUGACGGUACCUAAUCAGAAAGCCACGGCUAACUACGUG